rnacentral:lncRNA from 1 species
CCCCAUCCCAGGGCUCUGGGGAUGACUCGGCCCUGAAGAGGAGGGGCCGAGGCUGCUGGUCCCCACGUGUCAUGGUCACAGCUGGGGAGCUUCGGCUUGAGGACUCCCGUCCAACCCCUUCUUGACUAUGGGGCCCUAGGGCUUUUGGGAAGCUCUAGGUGGCCUGGAAGGGUGGCCCAGACUCUGGGGCCCCCAGAACCCCCAUGCGCUUCCUGGGUCUGUGGACACACGGAAGCCACUCUGCCCCUCAGUGCUGGCAAAGGAUCCCCUGCUCCAUUCAACUCUCAGGUGCUGGCCCUGGGCCAGUCCCUGGGGCUCGUGCUCCAGGAGGAAUCAGAGCUGGAGAAGGAGGGGCUAGGCCAGCCUCCAGCCCCGGGGCCAGGGAGCUUCUGCCCCCCACGCAGCCCCAAGUCCUUUGAGCUCUCAGCUUUAGCUGUGGGUCUGGGGUGGGGGGCCGCCUCGUCACUCGCCAAGGUUCAGAAUAGCAGAGCUCCCCAGUGACCACUCCCUUCUUACCCUGCCAGCUUGUCCACCAUUGAUGACACCAACCAGCAUUUGGCCAAGCGGGAGCAUCCCCUCCAGAAAUCCCCUCUGGGCCAGGACAGAAGUUCCUGGAAGGCCCUUUCCAUUAGCACAGACAUGCCGGGCAUCGUUCCAGGAGGCUCUGAGACCUGAGCUUUGCAAAGGGGAUGAGCAAUAAAAAUGACACCAGCGCCCUUCACAGAGGGCUCGCCCUGUGGGGCCUGUAGCCAGGUGCUCGCUGUCCAUCCCCACGUCCACUUCUCCCAGCUUCCCUGUGAGGGAGGUGCAGCAGGAGGAAAUGAGGGCGACGUGGCCUGCGUGUGGUCACACGGCUCGGGAGCUGCAGAGCUGGAAUGCAAGGCUGGGCUGUCACCAGAGUUCCUGUUAGUGGGGGGAAGUCCGCUCACCUCUCUGGGAAUUCAGUGGGACUUGCAGUGCACAGGACCUCAGACAGAAACCAGGGAGCUGAACACGACACCUCCCUUCCCCACACUUCCGCUCCUGCACAGCAGCACAGCCCACCGCCUCCACCUCCUGAGCCCCCCAUGCCCUCCACCCCCACGCUCAGAUGAGCCUCCCCACUGGGGCCCCGCUCCAAUCUGACCAUGUCGCUUCCCGGCUCCAAACCCUGCGAUGGCCCCAUCUCACGCGAGUAACCUCCAGACCCUUGUCACGAUCUGCAGGCCCCACCUGCCUGGCUGACCUCCUCUCCUCCGUGGUUCCCCCAGCCCUGCUGCUCCUUGGACGCUGGUCCCACUCCCACGGCAAGGCCUUCACCUCGGCUGUGCCCCUGCCUGGAACUCCCGUCCCCCAAACAUUCACCCACUGGCUCCUCUAUCCUGCAGGUCUCAGCUCAGAUGUCACCUCCUCAGGGAGGCCUUCCCUGAUCACGUGUCCUAAGUAACUCCCUGUCACCUCCUGCCCCAUCGAUUGUCUUCC